rnacentral:rRNA from 1 species
UGGGCCCUCGGAGUCAUUGCUAUUGGGGUCCGAUUUAGCCAUGCUAGUCGCACGGGUUCAGACCCGUGGCGAAUAGCUCCGUAACACGUGGCCAAACUACCCUACAGAGAGCCAUAACCUCGGGAAACUGAGGCUAAUAGCUCAUACGCGUCUCACGCUGGAAUGCCGAGACGCUCAAACGCUCCGGCGCUGUAGGAUGUGGCUGCGGCCGAUUAGGUAGACGGUGGGGUAACGGCCCACCGUGCCGAUAAUCGGUACGGGUUGUGAGAGCAAGAGCCCGGAGACGGAAUCUGAGACAAGAUUCCGGGCCCUACGGGGCGCAGCAGGCGCGAAACCUUUACACUGCACGAACGUGCGAUAAGGGGACCCCAAGUGCGAGGGCAUAUAGUCCUCGCUUUUGUGUACCGUAGGGAGGUACACGAAUAAGAGCUGGGCAAGACCGGUGCCAGCCGCCGCGGUAAUACCGGCAGCUCGAGUGAUGACCGAUCUUAUUGGGCCUAAAGCGUCCGUAGCUGGCCACGCAAGUUCGUCGGGAAAUCCACUAGCUCAACUAGUGGGCGUCCGGCGAAAACUGCGUGGCUUGGGACCGGAAGGCUCGAGGGGUACGUCCGGGGGUAGGGAGUGAAAUCCUGUAAUCCUGGACGGACCACCGAUGGCGAAAGCACCUCGAGAAGACGGAUCCGACAGUGAGGGGACGAAAGCUGGGGGUCUCGAACCGGAUUAGAUACCCGGGUAGUCCCAGCCGUAAACGAUGCCAGUUGGUGUUUGGGGCCCAAGGCUUACAAACCCUGCCCUUUUGCCCGUAAGGGAAGCCCGAAAAAACUGGGCCGCCCUGGGGAAAGUACCGUCCCGCCAAGGGAUGAAAACUUUAAAGGGAAUUUGGGCGGGGGGAGCACCUACAAACCCGGAAGGAGCCCUGCCGGUUUAAUUGUCUAUCU